CCUACGGGUGGCAGCAGUGGGGAAUAUUGCACAAUGGGGGAAACCCUGAUGCAGCGACGCCGCGUGAGUGAAGAAGUAUCUCGGUAUGUAAAGCUCUAUCAGCAGGGAAGAAAAUGACGGUACCUGACUAAGAAGCCCCGGCUAACUACGUGCCAGCAGCCGCGGUAAUACGUAGGGGGCAAGCGUUAUCCGGAUUUACUGGGUGUAAAGGGAGCGUAGACGGCUAUGCAAGUCUGAAGUGAAAGCCCAUGGCUUAACCAUGGGACUGCUUUGGAAACUGUAAAGCUUGAGUGCAGGAGAGGCAGGCGGAAUUCCUAGUGUAGCGGUGAAAUGCGUAGAUAUUAGGAGGAACACCGGUUGCGAAGGCGGCCUGCUGGACUGUAACUGACGUUGAGGCUCGAAGGCGUGGGGAGCAAACAGGAUUAGAUACCCUAGUAGUC
rnacentral:rRNA from 1 species